AAAUAGCUCAUCAAUCACCUUUUGACACAUUCUGUUUAUUAUAUUCUCUCUAGUUGCCCGUAAAAAGAUGCAAUAGUCUCUACAAGCCAGAAUGUUGAAUAAAAUUAUAUUUAAAAUUAUAUUAUAUCACUACUUUUAGUAAACAGAUACUUCAGGUAGCAAUUCCCUUGUGUAGCAUAUUUCAACUCCCCCCACCCUCGCACAGCUUGCUGGGUAAUGUAGUCUUAAUGUUAUUAAACGCAUAACACACUAUGUUUGAGCUGCUUUCGAAAGCAAAAGUCUAAUUGAAAACAUUAUUGACAUUGUUUCAAUUCGAUUUUCAUAAUAACAAGCUAGGACUGAUGUUUGUUUGGUUACCAAGGCAACUGCUGUAGCUAUCUAGUAAACUUGUUAGCUAGGUACUUCAGUGAACGUUUAACACAUUUCUACCUGCAAAUGUGUUCAAUUACAGCCCUGAAAUAAAAGGGAUAUUCAACUCAGGGCUCCAUCUGUUCUCUGGACAAUAAUAUGCAACUCCCGUAGGUUAGUUCCAUUCUGCUAGUGCUUCGUGGAACCACAUCUUUCACAUCAUUCAUUAUUUUCCAGAGAACUCAUAGCCCCUUAUUGAUGAUCCCUUACUUGGGUGAUACAGUAGUUUGACCUGCAUUCAGAGUUGUCGGAGAAUGAUCCACAGGGUUGUUUAAAAUUCUAUAGGAAUUGAAGGGAUUGUAUUAUUAUAUAUAUUAUCUGUUGGGAGUGGGGAAAAAGUGAUUGCAUUUGUUUUGGAAAAGCCUCCUGGGUGUGACCCAGUACCCGUUCAAAGCCCAUGGCAAAAGUUAUGUAGCCUAGGCUAGAUUAAGAAUUUGGAGUAAUGAGUAGGAUUCUGUGCUUUCACAAACAAAAGUGGUCGAUUUUGAUAAAAUGCUUUAAUUGCCUUCCAAAUGAAAACGUGAACAUAUAUUGUAUGGAAAAUAGAUGUACCACGAUGCACCAUGCCGCUUUAUUGACACCUUGACGGAGUAGCGCGGUCCUCCUUCACCGGUUUCUCCCAAUCACGUCACAGGCCAUAAACCAGUGCACUCCGACUGGGAUUAUGAGAACUCAGUAAUAGAGCCCUACAGUGGUGGUGUCAUAAUACUGUAAAACGGUUCCAAUUGUUUUCUUUACCAUUUAUUUAUUUUUUAGAAACACUUAAAAUAAGGGAUGUGUUUCGCGUAGGCUUACCCUGGGUGUGACGUUUUAAAUCUCCCUCGGCCAAGUGAACUUUUAGCAAUAUAUUCAGCUCUGUUUGCUCUUAGAUUCGAAAAUGCUAAUUAGCAUUAAAGUAGACAUCAUGCAAGAUUGAAAAUCCCUGCAAACUCUUGCACGUCAUCUCUAGUGGACACCUAUACUAACAGGUGUUUCUUUGGUUCGGUGGAACAGCAUUUAUCAGCUCUCUGUGCGCCGAAGUCUUAUUUUCUGUGGAUUUAGCGCCAUCUGGAGGGCAAGGAGGACAAAAUCAGUACUGCACCAGCGGAGGUGAAAGGGGACCGGCUUUAAAAACAAAUCCAAGAUGGCUACGUCUUUUUAAAUGUAGAUUGUCUAACCAAGAUUCCGAACCUCUUCCAACACUGAUCAAAACUCAAAGUGCAUUCGCUGUCAACAGGAUGUUAACAGCUCCUACUGCCCCUCAGACCCGGUCAACCUCCCAGACAACAGCUGGACCAGUGCAGCAUCCUGCUGGCGCUCCGCAGGUGCUUCUUCUCCCUGAGGGAUGGAAGCAGACCCUCCCAAGGAGCAGCAAGAGUAGGUCAGUCAGGCCGUCUUCACAAGGAACAAGCGGCUCAAAUGUGUCCUGAAAAGCCAGCUUGAGCUGUGGUCCUCCCCUCCCCUGCCUCCUAACAUCAGCCAUCAGCUUCUCCCUCCGGCCGUUCUGCUUCUGGAUGCCCUACCGCCUGUGGUCCUCCCCUCCCCCCUAACAUCAGCCAUCAGCUUCUCGCUCCGCCUACUUCCUCCGUCCGUUCUGCCUCUGGAUGCCUUACAACCUGUGGCCUCCCCUCCCCUGCCUCCUAACAUCAGCCAUCAGCUUCUCCCUCCGGCCGUUCUGCUUCUGGAUGCCCUACCGCCUUUUUGGCCUUUAAGUUUGUGUGCACCCAGCCACAGUGUAAGCGCCACAAACUCACAGGCUGUGGGGUGUACAAGACGGUUCGGAGGGUGCUUGACGUGGACGGCUGGUAUUAUAUGGGGACAGAGUACCUGGAGUGCUGCAUCUGUAAGAGGAAGCUACUAGCAGGAUGGUCGCUGGAGGUCUUGAACCAGCUGGACGCAAGUCAUCGCUACAAGUUCCCAGCCAUCUUGACUUACAGGCUGUCCUGUGACCUGAAGGUGGUCAGGCUGAUGAGGGAGAGGACACUGUUCCCCAGUGACCCAGGCUGUACAACCAGCUGAGGGAGCAGCACAGCCUGACCUGGAUGAGUCGGACCCUGUACUACCUGUCUGUCUGUGACCACUUUGUAGUCCCAGGUGCUGCACCACUGAGGGUAACACUUCCUCCUCCCUUUUUGGAUGUGCCCUCAGCCCAGUGGCUGCUGACUGUCCACGGCUACGACGUUCUGUUCCAGCUAGAGGACUUCAAGGCCCGAGUCACCUCCAUCUUUGGGUCCAUCCUGAAGAUGGAUUCAACCAAAAAGCUCCCUGCUUGGCCAAGGCUCUGGACCUGCUCAGUGGCCCAACACCAGCAGGACAGUAGAGGCCAUUUUCGUUGAGCUGUGCCACAAAUACCGUGCAGGCAAGACUGUGAUUGGGAACCGGGUCAACAGGUGGGCUGCUAUCCUGGGGGAUUACAAGAGAAUCAGGACCAUGGUGCUGGGCAGCCCAAACCUGAUUACCCACACAAGGCUGCAACUGUUCCAGUUCAACAAGUUGACCUUGACACAGUGUUAAGUUUUAUAUAUUUUAUGUGUAGUUCACUGGUUGACACAGUGUUAAUGAUAACAAUUAACAUAUUUCACUCUUUUCACACAGGUGCAACAAACCAAACCAUUGGAGAGAGUGACUCAGGUGCAACAAACCAAACCAUUGGAGAGUGACUCAGGUGCAACAAACCAAACCAUUGGAGAGAGUGACUCUGCACCAGACCCAGGACAGCAUGACUGCAGAGAGGGAGGAGUCGGGCCUUAUCCACGCAGUCAGGAGCACCUAUCAGCUUCCAGAGGACAGAAUGGGGCAGGCUACACAGUGUGGUAGAGCAGCCACUAGUCAGUCACUUCCACCUCUACCGCCACCUAGUCUGCCUACCAACUCCUUCCCUAUUUCUCCAGUCUCCCAAGACCUGCCCUCGACCUGCACUCCUCUGCCCCCUCCUGCUGGUGGCCCCAAGAGGGAGAUGCAAUGCAGGACUACCAGCAUGUCCGCAGGCCUGCCAGGGCCUUGGUGGGGGUGAGGAACCGUCAGUUGUUGUCGGACCGCAGGGUAGACGGUCUGGUGGAGCUGUGGCUGGUGCUGCCAGCCUACAACAAGCAGCGCUUGAUCUACCCUGCCCAACACCAGGAGAGGAUAGUUUGGGGGCGGUUCAAGGCACUGAAGGGGAAGGACUCUUUCCAACAUUGUCUUCUCGGACUGAACUCGGGCCCUGCUAAUUGGCCAGCCAUCUUCUGUUUGGUGGAGGCCAUUUGCAGUCAUCUCUGCCAGAUCCAUCCCAGCACCACACAGUCUGCCGGGGUCAUCAGGGAGGCAGUGCUGAACAGCCCGAGGUUGAUGGCUCAGACCAACCUUCAGCUCUUUGAGCUGAAUUAAAGGACCAUCAGUCAGUGGUACUCCCGGCGUCAGAGGGAGAGGAUGGUGCUGCAGAAGGGAUUGGGGCUCGCUCCUGCCCCCCAGCGUCAACGCCCAGCCCCUCCCUACAGCCAAGCCCCUUCACUACCAGCGGGAGGGGAUACAGGCACCUUUCCCUACACCGACACCCCCGGGUCCCACGCCAGACCACCCAGCAAGGACGGCCCGCCCAUUCUGCCAGCUCACCUGGAUCAACAACCCCCCAGCACUUCCCGGCCCUAUAGUGAUGGCAAAACAAUUUAUUUUCAGGGUUGAACUGAUGGCACCUGCUCAACAUCCUGGAUCAUGGCAGACAUUGAACAACUCCUUCAGAUUGCUAUCAAAGACUAUGUAUUUUGGAUCUUGCACACACACUCUUCGAUAGUAUAUCUUGGCUCGAACUGUGACGAUUGUGAUUCUGAGCUCUCCGGUUCUCACAGAGAGUUCUGGUCUUCACUGAUCUCACUCUCCGUCAGCUCCAUCUGUGGCGUAUAGGGGCAGGACUCGGUAGUAUACUGAUGGUAUUCAUCGUAAUCUAGCUGGGCCCCGAGCUCUUUAGUGAUGGUCCCAGUGGACCUCUUCACCACAACACAGGAACACUCUGGCACCCAGGGGUCAGUUUGGCUGUACUAACCCUUCUUUCCUGUUGGUAGAAAACCGUUAAGGCAUCUUUUAGGCUAUAGGUAUAUUCAAGAAUCACUGUGUAUUGUCCAUUUUAUGUCCAAAAUGGCCUCCGGGACGACAGAUUGUGUCUUGAAAUAAACUAUAGCCUUAUAAAUAACAUGGAUUUGCUUGUGCCUCCUCCUGCAGUCUCCUCCAGGAUGAAAACCUUUUUCAGGGAUGUAGAUGUCACCCUGAAAACAAACAAAUGUUUUGUUAAGACAACUGAACCCAAAUAUAGAAGUUGGCGUUAACAAGCUACCUUUCUUGUAUGCUUUGCCAUUUUUCCCCCAGCAAACAUUAGCUAUGUCAACUUUUUAUUUUUAUUUUUUUUAUUUAACCAGGUAGGCUAGUUGAGAACAAGUUCUCAUUUACAACUGCGACCUGGCCAAGAUAAAGCAUAGCAGUGUGAACAGACAUCACAGAGUUACACAUGGGAUAAACAAUAAACAAGUCAAUAACACAGUAGAAAGCAGGAAAAAAAAGUCUAGCUAAAUAAAGUGGGGCUAACAAAACAUUCAAAGAACAAAUGUCAACUAAAUGUAUUACAGUAACAUUACUUGACUGAGGUGGAAGCUAGCUACAGAGUAACUACCUAAUAACAGGGCUACACAGACAAACUGUGCUGCAAUUUUAGGUGCAGUCGAGUUACUUGCUAACGCUAGUUGCUGGGGGGGGGGGGGUUACACAAAACAUUUCAGAUGCAAUUAACUUAAACUCACGCCAUUCUGUACAAAUGUCCGCAACCGCAACAUUCAAACGAGGCUACAAAAAAAACUAGCGACUGUGUUGACUUCAAAAUCGGGGGUGUGAACUAGGUUUCUAUUCUAGUGUUGAUCAGCAUGGUAAUGUCUCUAUAGUAUUGGAUAAAAGUUGAAAAAAAACGGACGCUCCGUUACAUCGUGGCGUGUCAUGCUGUAACGUACAGUGCGCAUAAAGCUACUAUUUCUGUCUUACAAUCUCUCUCCACCAGGUUUAGCACUUCUAUCAUCCUUUAAAAACAAGAAAU